UACGAAGGGGGCUAGCGUUGUUCGGAAUUACUGGGCGUCAAGCGUAUGCAGGCGGCUCAUUAAGUCGGGGGUGAAAUCCCGAGGCUCAACCUCGGAACUGCCUUCGAUACUGAUGAUCUUGAGUCCGGGAGAGGUGAGUGGAACUGCGAGUGUAGAGGUGAAAUUCGUAGAUAUUCGCAAGAACACCAGUGGCGAAGGCGGCUCACUGGCCCGGUACUGACGCUGAGAUACGAAAGCGUGGGGAGCAAACAGG
rnacentral:rRNA from 1 species